rnacentral:lncRNA from 1 species
CCGUGUGAAUGUCAUUCUAAGUAUACAAAAGCAUACACGAAUACAAUUAGAAAUGAAAACUAAGAUCAACUGACUGUGGCAUCAAUAUUUAAUGUUUAUGUAGCUUUUGAAAUGUAAAUUAAUACGUAUUAUUUCUAUUGUAUAUUUGAAAAAAAUACCUAUAUGGUCCAAAUACUCAUAUGGUCCGGCCCAUUAAUAACUAAAUGAGUAUAAUACUCAUAUGGUCCGACCAUAUGAGUAUACGCAUAUGGUCAUGACCAUACGCGUAUGGUCCAAAUACUCAUAUGGUCCGGAACAUACAUGUA